AUCUUUCUAGUAUAAUAAGACAAUACAAAUGGCUUCCAACCAUUUAAUCUUAGUUAAAGCCUAAGGAAAGAUA
rnacentral:tRNA from 1 species